rnacentral:rRNA from 1 species
GACGAACCGUGCGAACGUUGUUCGGAAUCACUGGGCUUAAAGGGCGCGUAGGCGGCCGGCCAAGUCAGGGGUGAAAUCCUGCAGCUUAACUGUAGAAGAGCCUUUGAUACUGGCCGGCUCGAGGGAGGUAGGGGUGCGUGGAACUUCUGGUGGAGCGGUGAAAUGCGUUGAUAUCAGAAGGAACACCGGUGGCGAAAGCGACGCACUGGAUCUCUACUGACGCUGAGGCGCGAAAGCUAGGGGAGCGAACGGGAUUAGAUACCCUAGUAGU